CCUACGGGAGGCAGCAGUAGGGAAUAUUGCUCAAUGGGGGAAACCCUGAAGCAGCAACGCCGCGUGGAGGAUGAAGGUUUUCGGAUUGUAAACUCCUUUUGUUAGAGAAGAUAAUGACGGUAUCUAACGAAUAAGCCCCGGCUAACUCCGUGCCAGCAGCCGCGGUAAUACGGAGGGUGCAAGCGUUACUCGGAAUCACUGGGCGUAAAGAGGGCGUAGGCGGGAUAGCAAGUCAGAUGUGAAAUCCUAUGGCUUAACCAUAGAACUGCCUUUGAAACUGUUAUUCUAGAGUAAGGGAGGGGUUAGGGGAAUUCCUUGUGGAAGGGUUAAAUUCGUAGAGAUCAAGAGGAAUACUCAUUGCGAAGGCGACCUGCUAGAACAUAACUGACGCUGAUGCGCGAAGGCGUGGGGAGCAAACAGGAUUAGAUACCCCAGUAGUC
rnacentral:rRNA from 1 species